AUGGAGUUUGUGAAAGAGGAGAGAGAAGAGAACACGAGUGAACCAGAAACCAGCACAAUAAAACACGAGGAAACAGAAAUAAAACACGAGGAACCAGAAUCUUUGAUAAUUAAACACGAGGAACCAGAAACCUGGAGAAUAAAACAAGAGGAAACAGAAACCUGGAGAAUAAAACAAGAGGAACCAGAAACCUGGAGAAUAAAACAAGAGGAACAAGGAGGUUGGUGUUUAUUCUUAUUUAUUUUACUUUUUUUAAAUUAUUUUUAUGUUCUUCGUUCAUCUUUAAUGACUGUUUGUGGUAACGUUACAUUAGGCUUACAAAGUUUUACUUAUCGGGUGUUUUGGGGACCUGGAUAAUUUCUGUGGAGACAUUUGUGGGUGUUUUUAUAUAAAGACUAGGUGUAGACUGCGGCACUGAAGACUUGUUACCCAUGGGUUUUUAUUAAUAGGCGAAGUUCCUCCUUUAUGUCUUUCAUAUAAAUUUCCUUUGACUAUUUUGUAACAUUCAAUGUUAUUAAACCACUUUUUGUGCAGUAUGAAUAAAGGGUGAUAAAUUAAAGUGCUUGCAGUAUCCUUUAAUAAAAUAUAAACUAUACAAACAAUAAAAGCAUAAUCUAAAAAACAUUUCUUGUGCAUUAUAAAGAAUAUAAUACAGUUGGUUUGAUACCUUUAUCUCAAACUGUGUCAGUUUAAUUGAAGUGAGUAUAUUAUAUAAAACAGUUGAUUCAAUAAUGUAUAUAAAAACAACAAAGGCAUCAUCUGAAAAACAAUGCAUUCUGCAUUAUACUGAAUAAUAUUCUGUAUAUUUUACAGUGGGUUUGAUACCUUUAGAUCAAAUGAUGUUGUCCUUUAAUGUAUUGUAUUGAUAUUGACUUGGGACUAUAUUAUGGGGAAGCACAGGCGAAGCACUGCUGCUUAGGCGAAGCACUGCUACUUCGGUGCAGAGAUAUCACGCAACACAUGAAAACAUCAACUCUAUGUGAAUACAGGUAUAAUAUGGGUCGAUCUAUACAUGUGUCAUGAUUAAAAUAAUCACUUACUCUGUGGACAGCUGUCCAUUUGGUCCAUUCGGCGUGGGGUGUUUUUUCCAGUUCACUUUGUCACACCGAAAAAAAAAAAUCGAUUAACGUUACUGCAGAAUGGAUCAGCGCCGUGAAAUCCUCUGUAGAUGUGACACAACUUCGGGCACGCUCAUCUUGAUCUGACGUGUUGAGCCUGGUCAUCAAUGGCAAAAACAUGUCCCACUCUCUACAGCACAGACACUCUAUUUCCGUCGGCAUAGAUUGGCAUAUUCCCCCACAUUCACACCACCAGUUCAUGUUGGCUCUCAUCCUCACGUCCUCAGGCUGUUGAGCGAUCGCAACCUCCUCCUCCUGUCGUUCUAUUUCCAAAGCACGCAGCUCGUCUUCUGUAAACUCUGGUUCAAAUAGGUAUGGUUCUGGUUCUUGACUGUCUGAGAAGUCACCCUCUUCGUCUCUCUCAAAAUCAGCCAUGUUCAUCGCCAUUCGUGUACUGUAAGGAAAAUAGCCAGGCAGCUACUAUUCACGCCGGUAUGUUGACGGAAGUCGUGGGAUUUCAUGUGUUGCGUGAUAUCUAUGCGCCGAAGUAGCAGUGCUUCGCCUAAGCAGCAGUGCUUCGCCUGUGCUUCCCCAUAAUAUAGUCCCAAGUCAAUAUCUGCCUAGGAAAUCGCCUAGUGUUAAUCUGGAUCGCUAUUUGUACUCGUUGUGAAUACGCAGGCCACAAGAAGUAAUUAGGUGGGUUUUUUUAAUUUUUUGAUCACUUUUACUCAGGCCAUGCUAGCUGGCAACAAAGGAUUCCAUUCAUUGUGCUAAGCUAAGCUAACGCCGACCCAGUCAAACUAAAACAAUGCAUGCACGGACACAAAAAUGCAUUUGCCCACCUAUCUAAAUGUAGGAAAUAAUGUGAAUAAGCCCUAUUUCAAAAAACGGUGGAGUGUUCCUUUAACAGUAGUGAGUUAAGUGUUAAUGAAUAAUCACAUGUUAGUUCUUCAAUAAUUCCAUAUUACUUAUGUAGUAAGUAAGAAACAGUAUUCUAAAGUGUUACCAAUAUUUUUUUAAACCAAGAAUGAACCGAAAUGAAAACAUGUAGCUUUUUAUCCGUGUGUGUGUAGAUUUUUGAGAGUAAUAUAGUGAAGUAAAUGUAGGCAUUCCGUGUACGGGACAGGGUGACAGUUAAAGGGUUAAACUACACUACAGGGCAACAUGGAACAUCUGACUUGACACAAACGUACACACAUUAAACAUAAAUGUCAACGCAAGGAAAGCAUGGAUAGAGAGAGAGAGAGAGAGCGAACGAACUGCAACGAGAGAGAGCGAGAGUGAGCGCUCACGCGCAAUAGACAGUGGAGCGUCAUGGCAGUAUUUACUCACAAACCAAUUCAUUACCUGUUAAGAACCAUCGAAGAAUCUCAUCACCUUAAUUAAAAGGGGUCAAAGCCUAGAAGCGCAUCUUAAUAGUUGACAAGUGGAUACUUGCAUUGGUUCUCUAAAGUGUCUGGUCUGUAAAAGUAAUGUCCCAGUAUGUCCCAGUGCAUGUACAAUGCGUAGAUUCCUGUUGAAUCCUGUUAGGAGUGAAACUGUCAUUAUUUUCAAAGUCCUGAGUGGAGUUUCCCCCACUAUUGGAGUUUAUGGUCACUCCAGCUGAUGAUCGUGACGAGAUAUAUACAGUGGGGAUCGAAAGUUUGGGCACCCCUUGCAGAAUCUGUGAAAAUAUGAGUAAUUUUCAAAAAAUAAGAGAGAUCAUACUAAAUGCAGGUUAUUUUUUAUUUAGUACUGUCCUGAGUAGGAUAUUGUACAUAAAAGAUAUUAACAUUUAGUCCACAAGACAAAAAAAUUGCUGAAAUUAUUAAAAUAACCCCACUCAAAAGUUUGGGAACCCUUGGUUCUUAAUACUGUGUUCUGUUACCUGAUGAUCCUUGACUGUCUUUCUGUUUUGUGAUGGUUGUGCAUGAGUCCCUUGUUAGUUCUGAACAGUUAAACUGAGCAGCGUUCUUCAGAAAAAUCUUUAAGGUCCUGCAGAUUCUUCAGUUUUCCAGCAUCUUUGCAUGUUUGAACCCUUUCCAGCAGUGACUUUAUGAUUUUAAGAUGCAUCUUUUCACACUAAGGACAAUUGAGGGACUCAAACACAACUAUUUAAAAAGAUUCAAACAUUCACUGAUGCUCCAGAAGGAAACGAGAUGCAUUAAGAGCUGGGGGGUGAAAACUUUUGAACAUGAUGAAGAUGGGCAAAUUUGUCUUAUUUUGUUGAAAUAUAAUUUUUUUUCCAUUUAGUUCUGCCCUUCGUAAGCAACAGAAGAUACUUGUAUGUUUCCCGGUACACAAAUUAAGUACAAUUUACCUUGAUCUUCAAAUUCCAAAAGUUUUCACCCCGAAGGUGAAAGGAUUUUCUUAGUCGAAUCGGAAUUUUCGAAUCUUGCUGAUAUGCGACUGAUAGUCGAAUCAUAUGUUUGGGGGCGGGGCAAAAUACAUUGAGUCAAGUCAGACACUCUACAACCAUAAUUACUGAUGUUAACACACAGGGAAAAUGUGUAACAAAUGCUUCGCAGAUACAAACGGAGUAAAUAAUGUUUUUAUGUUAGCGCAGCUCUUUAUCUUAGAUACAGAAAGAAUGAAAAUCCUGGAAGAGAGAAUCCAUCCUUAUAUAAAUAUUAGUGGUGUUCCCAGCUAAGGAUUUUCUUAGUCGAAUCGGAAUUUUCGAAUCUUGCUGAUAUUUGACUGAUAGUCGAAUCAUAUGUUUGGGGGCGGGGCAAAAUACAUUGAGUCAAGUCAGACACUCUACAACCAUAAUUACUGAUGUUAACACACAGGGAAAAUGUGUAACAAAUGCUUCGCAGAUACAAACGGAGUAAAUAAUGUUUUUAUGUUUUUCUUUUGCGAUUCUUUGUUUAUUCAACAUUUUGUGUAAUUAACUAUUUACAACAAAGCCCAAGAUCACCCAUAACCGUAAGACUAAAUAUAAAUACAUAAAAUAGAUACAUAUGACUGAAAAUUAAAAUAAAAUUGACCAAAACUUAGAAGGAUAUCAAAAACUUCUUGAUAAAGUCUCAAUAAGGUCCAACCAAAAUUGUAUUGUCUUUCUAUUGGCUCCGAGCACUUUAGCUGUGGUGCACUCCAGAUGGGCAAUGUCCAGUAGAUAUGACAUCCAGAUAGACAUAGGUGGGGUAGUUGGUUCCAACCACAUUUUUAGGAGAACCUUUUUAGCAGCAGUAAGGAAAAUGGACAGAAUCCUCCUUUGAUUGACAGACAGUGACAACGAAGAAUCAUCCAGCAGAAGAAAAAUCAGAGGGUCCUUUCGGAUUGGAAUCUUCAGAAGUUCUGUUAGUAUGUCCUGGACUGAGG
rnacentral:lncRNA from 1 species